UACAGGGGGGGCAAGCGUUGUUCGGAAUUACUGGGCGUAAAGGGUUCGUAGGUGGCCACUUAAGUCAGACGUGAAAUCCCUCAGCUUAACUGGGGAACUGCGUCUGAUACCGAGUGGCUUGAGUGCAGGAGAGGAAUGCGGAAUUCCAGGUGUAGCGGUGAAACGCGUAGAUAUCUGGAGGAACACCGGUGGCGAAGGCGGCAUUCUGGACUGUAACUGACACUGAGGAACGAAAGCCAGGGGAGCAAACGGG
rnacentral:rRNA from 1 species